CUGGAAAAGAUAGAGUUAAUAGAAUGUGGAGUUAAGGCAGAAAACAUCUGUGCUUUAAAGACAGAAUAUUUGAUUCUGCAUUUUUUGGCUUCUUGCUCAGUAAUUUUUAACUGUAGGUCUUUAGUUCAGCAAUCAGGUCUUUAUGCUUUCUUCGCUCUCACAUGUUUUCUGUGUGCUCACGUCUGUUCUACGUGCUGCUGCUAUGACAGUCUUCCUAAAAAACAAUCUUCUUAUGGUACUUCCCUCCUCAGAAAUCUCCAGAACCUACCAGCUAAAGUUCAAAUUCCUCACCUUGGUCCUGAAAGCCCACCUCAUCUGGUCCUAACUUACUGUCCAGUCUUUUCCUACACCAGCACUCUGCUCCACCCAAAUAUACUUAUCCCACUUCAGGAGCCAUCAACUUUCAGGUUGCUGGCAUUGGGCAGAAUCAAGAAACCUCGGCCAGCCCCGGUUUCCUCCCGAGGUAUGGCACUUUAUUAAGAAUGUGCUAGAGCUGGGGCUGUAAUGCUGUUAAUGCAAUUGGUUUCCUAGUCAGAUAGCUGUGAACAGAAUUUGAAGGCAGGGAUAGAUCUUUUCAGAUCAAUUGCACUUGUAGCUUAUAAUGCCAAGAAACCUCUUCAGUGUACUGUAUUUAAAAAGCAACUCAUAAUCCAUAUUGUAGUUUAGAAAAUAUCACAGGAGAGGAAAGUAUCCAGAUAAAUUUUGGAUUUCAGUUAUCCUUUCCAGUGCUAUUAUUGUAUAAGAAAUUCUUAUAACUGAAAAUAAAGGUUUAGAAAAAUAGUUUAACA
rnacentral:lncRNA from 1 species